rnacentral:lncRNA from 1 species
AUUAAUUGUUUGUUGUCCCCAUCAGUCAAAUAACACGCUCCCUUUCUCGAAUCUAAGAAGAACCGAGAAUUUAAUGACUUUCAUUAUACUCUUUCAAUUUCUAAUAUCAGCCCUUUUUGUUUUCAUCUGCUAUUUAAUUUCAUAAGAAUAAAUGUUAGGUGUAUCCGGUAAAAGAGACCCUUUGAAUGCCUAUGCCUAAAUAUAGAUACUGGGGCGUUUCUUAGUACUGACUAAUAUUUCUCAACUGAUUGAAAAUAGAGUAAGAGUAUAAGGGUAAUAGUAAUAUGUUUCGUGUAAAACAUAAAGUAGCCCCAGCUCCGUCUAGGGGGUUUUAAUUAAGAUAGGAGUCU